GGAUGAACGCUGGCGGCGUGCCUAAUACAUGCAAGUCGAGCGAACAGAUGAGGAGCUUGCUCCUCUGACGUUAGCGGCGGACGGGUGAGUAACACGUGGAUAACCUACCUAUAAGACUGGGAUAACUUCGGGAAACCGGAGCUAAUACCGGAUAAUAUAUUGAACCGCAUGGUUCAAUAGUGAAAGACGGUUUUGCUGUCACUUAUAGAUGGAUCCGCGCCGCAUUAGCUAGUUGGUAAGGUAACGGCUUACCAAGGCAACGAUGUGUAGCCGACCUGAGAGGGUGAUCGGCCACACUGGAACUGAGACACGGUCCAGACUCCUACGGGAGGCAGCAGUAGGGAAUCUUCCGCAAUGGGCGAAAGCCUGACGGAGCAACGCCGCGUGAGUGAUGAAGGUCUUCGGAUCGUAAAACUCUGUUAUUAGGGAAGAACAAAUGUGUAAGUAACUAUGCACGUCUUGACGGUACCUAAUCAGAAAGCCACGGCUAACUACGUG
rnacentral:rRNA from 1 species